UACAGAGGUCCCGAGCGUUGUUCGGAUUCAUUGGGCGUAAAGGGUGCGUAGGCGGCGGGGCAAGCCUGAUGUGAAAUCCUGGGGCUCAACCUCAGAACUGCAUUGGAUACUGCCUUGCUAGAGUACUGGAGAGGGAACUGGAAUUUACGGUGUAGCAGUGAAAUGCGUAGAGAUCGUAAGGAAGGCCAGUGGCGAAGGCGAGUUCCUGGACAGUUACUGACGCUGAGGCACGAAGGCCAGGGGAGCAAACGGG
rnacentral:rRNA from 1 species